AUUGAACGCUGGCGGCAUGCCUUACACAUGCAAGUCGAACGGUAACGCGGGGCAACCUGGCGACGAGUGGCGAACGGGUGAGUAAUACAUCGGAACGUGCCCAGUAUGGGGGAUAGCCCGGCGAAAGCCGGAUUAAUACCGCAUACGACCUACGGGUGAAAGCGGGGGAUCGCAAGACCUCGCGCUAUUGGAGCGGCCGAUGUCAGAUUAGCUAGUUGGUGGGGUAAAAGCCUACCAAGGCGACGAUCUGUAGCUGGCCUGAGAGGACGACCAGCCACACUGGGACUGAGACACGGCCCAGACUCCUACGGGAGGCAGCAGUGGGGAAUUUUGGACAAUGGGGGCAACCCUGAUCCAGCCAUGCCGC
rnacentral:rRNA from 1 species